AUCUGUUUAACUGUAGUAGAAAGAAGUAUAUGGUGAAUUAAUCACAUAAGAUUUGUUUAUUUAUUGGCUCAAAUAUAAUUGAAUAGGGGGCUUAGUGGUUUAUUUUUUAGUUGAACGUACGUUUUUUAAGAGUUCAUCAUUUUAAAGGGGAUAGGACACAGUGCCAGCAUCCGCGGUUAUUCUGUUUUCUUUGCUUUUUUAUAGCAUGCUGUUUAAAUGAUUAAAAAGAAGGUUAAGUGAAAAUUUCUUUCUUUUAUUAUUAACUUUUAUAUUAGAAUAAAUGAUAUUGUAAUGACAGGGAUUAGAAACCCCAUUAGUUUAUCAAUUACGGUUGUUUAGUAAAUAAAACUAAAAUAGUUUGGCAGCGGGUUACUCCUGUUGGGGGAAGGUGCGCAGUAAAGGAUGGUCCGCCCAAUAAUUUACCAUACUUAUGCUGGUGUAUAUCUAGUGUGAUAUUAGUGCUUUAGUGGUUAAACUUGUAUAAAUAUGAAAUUUGAAGCUAAGUCUAUGUGCUGCGUGGUAUGGUCUGACGUGCGUUACACUUAUAAGUUGCUUAUUGUAAAUAUAUGUGAAUUAAGGACUCAAAAGUAAAAUUGGUUAAUGUGUCAGUUUGAAAUAGGAUUAACUCGGGUACACACCGCCCGUCAACCUCGACUUAUGUUGAGGUAAGUCGUAACAUGGUAGCCCCAGAUGAAUCUAGGGCUAAUUAUCUACUUUUAGUUGAUUAUA
rnacentral:rRNA from 1 species